UUAGUUAAAGCCAAAAAAGAGGCAUACCACUGUUAAUGGUAUAAUUGAAGAACCCUUCUAACUAAG
rnacentral:tRNA from 2 species